rnacentral:lncRNA from 1 species
UCUCAUUUGAGUAGGCUCUAUCAGAGGGAAGGUCUAGGGCUGAAGGCUGUUUGUCAGAUUCUUUUGUUCCACAGCGUGGCCAGAGCUGUAGUGAUUGUUGCCUCUUUUCUGGAUCUGGCCACUCUGUAUAGACAACCCCCAGUACCAGCCCGGAGCCUGGUAGACUUGGUGCUUCUCAUGUACUACUGCUACCACCAUGAUGCUGUCCACUAAAGAACACUUUUUGGUACUGGGGGUUGUCUGUACAGAGUCCUGUGUUGUGAACCAUCUGUCAGUCUCUCAGCCAUGGAUACAAGCACACUAUUUGGGUUGUCUCCUGGGUCCUACAGGAGCAAUCCGCUUCCUUCAGGGAAUCUGUGGGUCCUCUCAGGUUUCCCGAUUUAUGCCUGCAGUCAUUCUGGAGUAAAAAUUCAUGAUAGGCGCCUCCACAUGCUACUCUGUUCAUCUAAGUCAGAGCCACAAUGUAUUCCUGCCUCCCAUCUGCCAUGAUCACCUCCCUCACUUUUGAUUCUUCAUCUCUUGAUUCCUCUCCAGAUGCUUUUAUGAUUCUACAAAUCAGGGUUGCCCAGGACAAGGAUAACAGCAAGAAAUAUCUCAAAUUCCCUCUGAAAGCUCUAGGAUCUAAUUAGCACUUAUAUGGAAAAGUCACAUUCCUAAUAAAAAUAAGAUGCAGAAACCUCCAAGUUGGCACUGUAAGAAGAAUUUCUUAAAAAGGAAAGAAAAAUGAAUUAAGAAAUCCCAGCCUUUCUUUCCAAGCUUCACCCUCCUCCUGGCGCUUCUCACAUACUACUGCUGCAACCAUGAUGCACGAAAGAACACUUUCUGCCUUUAACAUUUGUGGAUCUUCAUCUCAUGAGCUUAACACCUGGAGAGAGGAAAGGUUCCUUUUGUUAAAGAAAUGCCCUUACUUGAUGGAACAUCAAAACCUCAUUAUAUUGCAAACAUUGGACUAUAAAAGAUGGAGAAUGAGCAAUUCUACUUAGCCGCUGCAGCCCUCCACACGGUGCCCCAGAAGGACAAUGAGUUCCAAAGGUCAGGGUUACACAUGGCGUGGUAAGUGUUUUUCUCCUUCUAACACUCAACAGGCUUGGAAAAUGGCCAAUGUUAGAGACAGAG